rnacentral:sRNA from 1 species
GCCAUGGGUUAACAGCAGCGGGAAGAUGCUUCAGGCAGUGAGAUGAACAUCCGAGCUCAAUCCUACUAGGGCAUCAAGGUUUUAUUUGAGAUGAGGAGACUGAGACCCAAGGGAUUAAAGGAUGUGAUCAGUCUCCUGCUGCUUCCUGGCCUGUGCUCAGAAGCCAGUUCUCCUGGCUGCAAAUCUCAUCGUCUAUAUCCUGGACUUGUUAAUUAGAUCACUUCCUUCAUGGAGUAAAUACUCA